rnacentral:rRNA from 1 species
GAUGAACGCUGGCGGCGUGCCUAAUACAUGCAAGUCGAGCGAACAGACGAGGAGCUUGCUCCUUUGACGUUAGCGGCGGACGGGUGAGUAACACGUGGGUAACCUACCUAUAAGACUGGGAUAACUUCGGGAAACCGGAGCUAAUACCGGAUAAUAUUUCGAACCGCAUGGUUCGAUAGUGAAAGAUGGCUUUGCUAGCACUUAUAGAUGGACCUGCGCCGUAUUAGCUAGUUGGUAAGGUAACGGCUUACCAAGGCAACGAUACGUAGCCGACCUGAGAGGGUGAUCGGCCACACUGGAACUGAGACACGGUCCAGACUCCUACGGGAGGCAGCAGUAGGGAAUCUUCCGCAAUGGGCGAAAGCCUGACGGAGCAACGCCGCGUGAGUGAUGAAGGUCUUCGGAUCGUAAAACUCUGUUAUUAGGGAAGAACAAACGUGUAAGUAACUGUGCACGUCUUGACGGUACCUAAUCAGAAAGCCACGGCUAACUACGUG